rnacentral:rRNA from 1 species
GAUGAACGCUAGCGGGAUGCCUUACACAUGCAAGUCGAACGGAGUGGCGAACGGGUGAGUAAUGUAUCGGAACGUGCCCAGUAGCGGGGGAUAACUACGCGAACGCGUAGCUAAUACCGCAUACUAUUGGACCGGCCGAUAUCGGAUUAGCUAUUUGGUGGGGUAAGGGCUCACCAAGGCGACGAUCCAUAGCUGGUUUGGGAGGACGCCCAGCAACACUGGGACGGAGACACGGCCCAGACUCCUACGGGAGGCAGCAGUGGGGAAUUGUGGACAAUGGGGGAAACCCUGAUCCAGCCAUCCCGCGUGUGCGAUGAAGGCCUUCGGGUUGUAAAGCACUUUUGGCAGGAAAGCGGUACCUGCAGAAUAAGCACCGGCUAACUACGUGCCAGCAGCCGCGGGAAUAC